rnacentral:lncRNA from 1 species
UAAAAAUUAAGGGAAAAAGGGAGAGAGAGAACUGCAAAUUCCUUAGACAACUAUAGUUGAUAAGUAUAUAACAAACAAAUGAACAAAGAUACAAACGAAACAUUUAUAUAUAUAAAGAUUUGAUAGAUUUUGUAUAAGCUCGCCUAUGGAUCGAUCUUUCUUUCUCCUCUCUGCUUCUUGCUUCUGCCAUGGAUGAUCAAGUACUUCUGCUUUUGUUAAUAGCAGCAGAAGCCUUAUUGGUGUGAUUGUUGGUUGAAAGAACAAGGCUUAAGCUUGUGGAAUGUUGGCGAUCGUCGGAGGUGUCUCGCUUCUGAAUCUGCAGAGGAAGACCUGAUUUCUGGGCUGUAUCUACACGAACUGAUUGCGGACGUGGGUAGAAGAAAUCAGUUGGGAAAAAGUAGUAUUGUUGAAGACCAGCCAUGGAUUCUCUCUCUCUCUCUCUGUGCAGCUGAAUAUCAAGAUUCAAGAAACUUAGUUUCAAGAACAAGAACUAAAGGAAGAGAGCUGCGCUUGGAGGAAAAGGAAAGUGAGGGAGGAUUCUUGAUUGGAAGAUAGUGGCUUCCUACUCUUUAUAUAGAGAAGGGGGAAGAGACGGCUUUUAUGACUAAAACCAAUUUGUUUAUAAAAAUAUUAAUUAAUUUUUACAGUAACUUGGAAUUUCAAUCUAUUUUCUAUUUGUUUAUUUGUUUCUCGAUUCCUUGGUGGAGAUUUUAUUCUCAAGAAUAUUCUUUUUUAUUUUUAAUUUUUUUAAAAAUAUUUACUAUAUUUAGCGCAUUUGUAGCAGAAACUAAUCAAUAUUUUAAUUUUAAAAGAUAUAUUUUUAUAGUUUUAUAAUUUUUAUUUUUUUAAUUAUUUUAAAAUUAUUAUCUCACUUUUUUAUUAUAAUAAUAUAUAAAUUAAUUAUUAUAAUGCUAUUUAAUUUUUAAGAUAUUUUUUAAUACAUCUUUUAAUAUUUAAUAAAAUUUAAUAUUUAAAAUUAUUCAAAUAUUAUUUUUUAAUAUGUAUAAAAAAUAAAAUAAUUAUAAAUUAUAAAUCGGAUGGCGUAUUAAAAUAUCUUUUAAUAUUUUAAACAAUAUAUCUCAUUUAUUUUGUAAUCUUUAUCUAUAUUAUUUUUUAUAUGUAUUAAAAAAUAUAAUUUUUUAUUAAUUUUUUAGUUAUAUACUAUUAAAAAAAUAUUUUAAAGAAUUUUAUAAAAAUAAAUAAGAUUAUAAUAAUUAAUUUGUAUGUUAUAAUAGUAUGAAAAAAUAAAUAAUAAUUUUAAAAUAAUAAAAUAAAAGAAAAAUAAAAAUUAUAAAAUAAAAAAAAUUAAUUAGUUAUUUUAUUAAUUUUAUUUAUUAAGUGUUUUACUUCGUCCUAUAAUAUUUAUCCAUUAUUUUUUUAUAUAUAUUUUUAUUAAGAUCUAUUAGUUUCAAAAAUUUUCACAUUUAUAAUUUAAAUUUUUAAUUUUAGAUUAAAAGGUUUCAAUUUUUAAAUUUAUGAUAAUGAUAACAAUUUUUUAAAUUAAUUUUAGUGAAAUUUAAAUUAAUUUAUCCAAUUUAUUAUAUAUUAUUUUUAUUACAUAAAUAAUUUAAUUAAUUAAAAUUAAACUUUAAUUAAGAUUUUACUCUUAAUUAUAUAAAAUUCUUAAAUUAUAUAAUUGAUAUAUUUCAUUCGCUUGUACUUAAAUAAAAAUUUUUAUUAAAAAUUUUAGGUAAUUAGAAUUUAAGAUCUUAAUAAAAAUUUAAUUUAAAUUAAUGAAAUUAUUUACAUAAUAAAAAUAAUGACACAACAAAUAAAUUAAUUUAAAUAUGAUCAAAAUUAAUUUAAAAAAUUACUAUAAUUACAACACAUUUAAAAGUUAAGAUUUUUUAAUUUAAAAUUAAAAAUUUAAAUUAUAAGUAUGACAACUUAUAAAACUGAAAACUUUUUAACCAAUAAACCUUUUAUUAAUUUUUUAAUUAUAUUUAUUUUAAAUAAAUUAAAAUUUAUUAAAUAUUAAUAGAUAUUUUGAGAUAUUUUUUAUAAAUAAAAUAAAAUUAAAUAUAAUUAUAAUAUUCAAUUUAUAUAUUAUUAUAGUGUUAAAAAAUAAAUAAAAAUUAUGGAAUGGAAGUGAUAUAAAAUGUAAAAAUUUAUUAAUUUAUUUUUUAAUUUUAUAAAAAUAUUUAUUAUUUAAUUUUUUAUAUUAAAAAUAUUUUAAAUUUUUAUAUAAUAUUUAAUAAUUAAAAUUAACCUAAAAAAAUUAAUUAAUAAAUUUUUUAAAAUUUGAAGCUGGAGUAAGCUGGAGCAAUUAACCAGUGUGUACCAAGAUUUUUAAGAAAAUCAUUUUCAUAUUUUAUGAUAUUUAGGUAUUUAGAAAAAUUAUUAAUGAAAAAUAUUUUUUAUAUUAAAAAAAUUAAGCAAAUGAUUUUCCAUAUUCAAAGCAGGAGCAUUUUUUGCACUUUGAUAUUGUUAUUAACGCAUUAUUUGGAAUUAUUAAUUUUAAAAGAAUUUUAAAAAAUAUUUUUUUUAAUUUUUUUAUUUGGAAAAAUUAUUUGUAUAAGAAUUCAUUUUAAAUAUUUUUUUUUUAAAUUUUUUUGUUUGACAAAACUAUUUGUGUAAGAAUUCAUUCGCUUGAAUUCUUAUAAGAAUUCGCUUGAAUUGUUAUAAGAAUUGAUUUUGAAUUAGAAGUAAAUAUUUUUAAAAUUGUUAAAAUUUUAUAAAAAAUAAUUUCAUUUAAAAUUAUUUGAAUCAAAAUUACUUAAUUAAAUUUGAGGAAUUUUUUUUUAUCUUUUUUAAUUUUAAAUUUAUUUUUUAUUUUUUUAAUUAAGAAUAUCUCUUUGAAAAAUUAAUUUAAUUUAAUAUUAAACUAUUAAUAUUUAAUGAAUUUAUUAAUAUUAAUAAAUUUUUUAUAUUAUUUUUUAAUUUAAAAUUAUAUUUAAACUGAUUUUAAAUAAAUAAAUUUUUAAAAAUUAAAAUAAAAUUUAAUUUUAUUAAUAGAAUUCAGAUUUAAAAAAAAAAAAAAACAUACCAAGGACUAUCAGAUUUUCUAUAUCUAAAUUUAUUAACAAACUUUACUUUUUAACAUUGCAUUUAAACAAAAGAAAAUAAAUAGUUUUCUUGAAAAAUGUUUGCUAUAUUUUUUAACAUAUAAAUUAUUAUUUGCAAACUAGACAAAUAUAUAUAUAUUUUCAAUAAAUUCAUUAAUUAUAUUUUGUAAGUAACUUCUAUAAAAUAUAUUUUAUUAUUCCUCCACUUGAUAUGAUUUAUAAAAAAAUCGAAUUAAUUCUUAUAAAAUUAUAUAUUAUUUUAUUUAUUUUAAAAAUUAAAAUUUUAUAAAUUAAAAAAAUAAUAUAUUUUAAACAAAAAAAUUUGAUAAAAAAAUUAAAUUUUUGCGAAAUAUUCACUUCUGCAAUCAAUUAUAUAUAAAUCUUAAUAAAGACUUUAAAAUAUAAAAAAUGAUUUUUUAAAAAUAAAUUAUUUUUUAAAAAUAAUUUAUUUUUUAAAUUAAAAAAAAUAUUUUCUAUUAAUUAAAUUUUUUUAAAUAUUUAAAUUAUAAAAAAUUAAAAAAAUAUUUUUUAUAAAAUAAAUGUAGCUUAAGAGGCUCAACAUAAAAUGAAAAGUUUUUUAUACUAUUUUAAACAAGAAAAACUAAAUUACUCUAAAAAUUAAUUCAAACAUAAAUAUCAUCCUAAACUAAUAUAAAAAUUUGACAUUAGUGGUCUCAGAUUAUUUAUAUUUUAUUUUGUAUUUAUUUACGAAAAAUUAUUUAUCUUAAAAGUAUUUUCUUUAAAAAUUAUUUUUUAAUAAGAUAAUUUAUUUUUUAUUGUUAAUUUUAAAAGUAAAAUAUAUUAACAAAUUUAUAUAUAUAAGUCUUAAUAUAAAAUUAUCAAAAUAUGAAAAAUAACUUCUUAUUUUUAAAGAAAAAUAUUUACUUUUAAAUGACUUAAUUUUUUCUUUUAUUAAAAAAAAUUUUAUCUUAACUAAAUUUUUUGGAGUGCUCCAAAAACUAAGAAAUAUGUAAAAUAUUUUUUAUUUUAAAUGAAAUAAAUGGUGUUUUAAAAAGAGCUAAAAAAAAAAAUACUAAACAUCUCAAAUUCCAAAAGACAUAGACUUAAAGAAUUUGGUUUCAAUUAUUCGAAAUAAAUUUAUAAUUUAGACUCUGUUUAUUUAUGGAAAAUAAAUUAUAUUUAAAAAAUAUUUAAAAUAACUUAUUUUUUUAAUUUUAAUUUAAAAAAUAAAAUUAUUAAUAAAUUUAUAUAUAUAGAUGUUUUAAUAAAUUCAAAAUAUAGAAAAUGAGUUUUGAAAGCCAUUUUCCUUAAAAUGAUUUUUUUUAUCAAGAAAAUAUUUUUUAAAGAGAAAGUCAUUUUUUUAAAAUAUUUUUUUUAAUUAAGAAAAUAUUUUCUAUUAAUUAAAUUUUUUAGUACUACAAAUACCAGAUACAGAGUCUUAAAUUUUAAAUGAAAUGUUAACACCUCAAAGUGCUAAUUAAAAUAAAAUAUUUUCCUCAUGGUACUAGUUUCUGAGUUAACUUGGGUUUCUCUCUCCAAAUUAUAAAGGGUAAAUGAAUCAAACUAUUCAUGAGUUAUUUGAGAUUUCGAUCGAUAAAAAUUCGAUCGAGUUCAACUUGGUUUCUAAAUGGCUAAACUCGAGCUUGGUUUUUAAACUCAUUUAGUAAACGAGUCAAACUUUAACUCUGAAGUAUUUGUCUUGUUAAAACUUAUGAGUUUGACUAGUUUUCGAGUUCAUGAGUAGAUUUAUGAAUAGUUUUAUUAAGUAAUCUCUUUAAGCAGAUUAAGAUUAAUAUCAUAUGAGAAAUAAGGUCAACCCUUGCAUAAAUGUCAUGAACCAAACUUAAGUUUUCUAUAAUUAAAUUAUGCAUAUUUUAGUUACACUCUUAGAAUUUACAAAUAUUCAGAUUGUUAAACAAACUAAACAUAAACUUAUUAAUAAUCGACUCGAGUUCGAAAUGAGAAAAAUUCAAGUUUAACUUGACCUUAAAAAAAAUUUAAUGAAUCCGAUAUAACACAAUAAUUGCCUAUAGUAGGCCAUGCACUGGCACUCGAAGAUAAGGUCACGUAGUAAGAGUCUGAUCAAAUGAUACCGAUCCCACUGAGGGAAAAGAAGACUCGCACGCUUCAAGUCUCCGUCAAGAUUCGCCCUCUCAACCUAUAGGGUGAGGCUCCAUGGGAAGUUACCGUUAAAGGAUAUUAUAUCUUAGAUCUUCAUUAAGUCUACAAUAAUGGGAUUCUCUACCAAUUAGUCAGUACCAACCAAAUUUUUAGGAGAUACGAUAAUUAACUCCAUUCUCUUAUAAUAUAAAAGCUAAUGAUCGCAAAAAAUAAGGGACACAUUCUUACACAACUAUUCUUGAGUUUUAAACAAUUCCUUACAGUCGUCAUUUUCUUCAGUUUACUGACUUGAGCGUCAGAGUGACUACCAUAGACUCUAACCACCUCACAUUCUCUUUCUUGUAGAGUGGCCAAUAGCAGCAUAGCUUCAUUUCAGCCACAUCAUUUGGUUCCGCUAUCAAAAAAUCCAUUGAAUUAUCUUUAUUUGGAUUAAAACCGUUCUCUUAUUCUCUUUCUCUUAAAAAUAAAUCUUUCUUUUCUCAAAAUAACUGAUAAUUCACGAGUUGUUGCUAAGACUACUGCCAAUAAGAGCAUAAUGAUUUCCUCCACUUCUAGUAAUGGACAAAAUAGCCCAUCGAUAGUCAAUGAGGUUGAUUUGAGCAACCUAAAUGAUGAGUAGAUGCUUCAAUACAUAAAAAAACUAUAGGCCGCUCUCAGCAGUAUAAAGCUCGCGAGGAGGUCUCCUUCAUGGCUCCCAGGAUAAGGGAGGAAGCGCAUUGAAGGACUUAGACAGAGGUAAUCCGAACGCAGUCAAAGAGGAAGGCAAAGCUAGAGGAAGAGGAGUCGUCAGACGACACUCCAAAGGAUAUUGACUGGAAGCUGAUACAGGCUGCACAAAGGUAUUAGAAAGAGCAGGAGGAGAAUUAUGGGCUGGACGAUGUCUCGCCCCUUUCAGAAGAAAUCUUGGCAAAGGUAUUUCGCGCUAAGUUUAAACUUCCAAGUUUAGACAAAUACGAUAGAACAACAGAUCUCAAAAGUCACCUAGCUAUCUUUAAAACAAUGUUGCAACUUCAGGAUGUCAAUGAUUUCGUAUUGUGUUGAGUGUUUUUAUUAAUACUCACAGGCUUGGCUCAGAAAUGGUACCAAUAUCUGAGUCCAGAUUCAAUUCAAAAUUUUAUACAAUUUGUUAUGUUAUUUAAAUCUAUAUUUAUUACUUAUAUACCUACUAAAAAGCUCUCAUCUGGCUUGCUAAAGAUUUAUCAAGAAGAGAGAAAGUCUUUAAGAAGCUUUAUCUCACGGUUUAAUGUAGAAGCAAUACAGAUGGAAGAAUGAAAUCAUGAGAUAGCAUGUGAAGCAUUAAAAAAAGGAACGCGUAACUCCAAGUUCAUGGAUUCUCUAAUAAAGAACCCAGCUGCUAUGUACCGACAGCUAAUGGGCAAAGUCUAGAAGUACAUAAGACUAGAUGACGAAGUUCAAGUAUUGAGAGAGGACAAAAGGACGAGUCAAAAGCAAAAUCAAGAACUAGAGAGGCGAGGAUAGGAAGGAGACAAGAAAAGGCCACAAGGCAGGUUCCGCCAGGCCACAAUCUAGGUGUUAGUCCUACUAAACAAGGCAUCUUAUUCCAGGCCACAAGGCAGAUUUCGCCAGACCACAAUCCGAGUAUUAGUCCCGCUAAACAAGGCAUCUUAUUCCAGGCCAUAAGACAGAUUUCGCCAAACCAUAAUCUGAGUAUUAGUCCCGCUAAACAAGGCAUCUUAUGCCAAGCCACAAGGCAAAUUUCGGUAGACCAAUUCUGCUGUUAGUCCCGCUAAAUAAGGCAUCUUAUGCCAAGCCACAAAAUGGGUUCUGCCACGCCAUAAUUCAGGUGUAAGUUUCGGUAAACAAUGCAUCUUAUGCCAAGCCACAAGGCAGAUUUCGUCAGGCCACAAUCUAGGUGUUAGUCCUGCUCAAUGAGAAAUUUUAUACCCAGGCCACAAGGCGAGUAUCCGCCAGGCCACAUGACCGGAUGUUAGUCCAUUUUACAAAGUUUCCAAGGCAUUCUUAUACCUAGGCCACAAGACGGGUUCUACCAAGUCAUAGUUCUGGUGUUAAUCCCGCUAAACAAGGCAUUUUAUAUCAAGCCACAAAGUGGAUAUCUGCCAGGCCACAUGACCAGAUGAUUAGUCCCGUUAACUAAAGCAAAUUUCUACAAAAAAGCGCCAUAAGGUGGGUAACUGCUAGGUGAGUCUUCGAGCGUUAGUUUCAAAAGACAAACAAAUUUUUUUUUCAAAAAGCGCCACAAGGCGAGUAACUGCUAAGCAAGUCUUCCGGUAUUAAUCCCAAAAGACAAAGGCAAGUUUUCCGCCGAAAAGUGCCACAAAGCGGGUAACCGCUAGGCGAGUUUUUUGAGCGUUAGUCCCAAAAGACAAAGGCAAGUUUUUCUACCGAAAAGCGCCACAAGGCAAGUAACCAAUAGGCGAGUCUUCGAACGUUAGUCCCAAAAGAAAAAGGCAAAGUUUUCUGCCGAAAAGCGCCACAAGGCAGAUAAUCGCUAGGCGAGUCUUCGAGCGUUAGUCCCAAAAGACAGAGACAUGUUUUCCACAAAAAAUCGUCACAAGAUGAGUAUUUGCUAGGUCACAUGACCGGAUGUUAGUCCCGCUUCAAGUUUCUAAGGCAUUUUAUACCAAGGCCGUAAAGCGGAUAUCUGCCAGGCCACAUGACUGAGUGUUAGUCCCAUUUUGCAAAAAGUCUCUAAGUCAUUUCACGACCAAGACAAUAGGAGGGUAUCCGCCAAACUAACGACCGAGUUUAAGCCUGAUUAAUAAAAUCCUCAAGUUGUUACCGUGACUGGAUGUUAAGAGCAGGCAAAGUGAUGCGACUGUGGAAGGACAAUCUAAACAAGUCAUGUGCCCCAAUAUAAUUGUCACCUUUGAAUAUGAAAAAUUGAAAACCAGCGGAGAGACUUCUGAUAUAACACAAUAAUCGCCCAAAGUAGGCCAUGCGCUGGCACUCAUAGAUAGGGUCAGAUGGUAAGGGUCUGAUAAGAUGAUAUCCAAUCCCAUUGAGGAAAAAGAAGACCUAGAUACUUCAGGUUCCUACAGGGUGAGGCUCCAUAGGAAGUUACCAUUAAAAAGUAUUAUAUCUUAGAUCUCCGUUACGCCUACAAUCACGGGAUUUCCUACCAAUUAGCUGGUACUAAUAGGAUUUUUAGGAGAUAUGAUAAUUAACCUCAUCUUCUUACAGUAUAAAAAUUAAUGAUCGUAGAAACCAAGGUACGCAUUUUUACACAACUACUUUUGAGUUCUAAGCAAUUCAUUGCAUUCACCAUUUUCUUUAGUUUACUAACUUGAGUAUCGGAGUGGCUGUCAUAGGCACCAACCCCUUCACAUUCUCUUCCUUGCAAAAUGGACAAUCACGACACAGUUUCAUUUCGGCUAUAUCAAAACUAAAUUUGAAUUUUUUUAAAAUUCGAUUCAAUUCUAUUUGUUUACACCCACCAAAUUAUAUUUGGAAAAGUAUAAUCGAUGUUCAAAAUAGUAUUACUAAUGGUCUAUGAUGGCUAACUGGAACUGGUACCUCAAUGAGAAUUUAGCAUGACCGUUGGUUGCCCAAUCAGGUUGGUGGUAAGCUAUGGAGUUCACCACAAACUCUCCCGGUUGAUGCUUUGUUUCAUGACUUAAUUCUCCUGCAUUCUAUGUGUUUGAACUGAGUCUUUAAUAAUGUUUCUUAUUAUAUUGCUAAACAAUUUUUUAUUGGUGGAGCUGAGAUUAUAUGGCAGGAUGAUCCACCGCCAUUCAUUAAUUGUUGACCUAGCUUCUAUGGAUGUAAUUCCUUCUUAGUAUUAAUGCUGCACGUGUUUGUUCAGAAAUAAAGUAUUAGUUAAUUAAUGACAUGUCAAUAAAACAAUUAAAAAGAUUAGUUGUUAAUUAAUUAAUUAUAUUUCAUAAAAUUUAAUUACAAUUUUGUAAUCAUAUCAUAAUUAUCUUUUAAAUUGUGAUAAAAUAAUGCGUAACAUAUAUAUUAAGAAAACGUGUUACAUUUAUAUUGCAUUUUACGAAGGUGUAGAUUACAAAUUUGGACUGUAGUGCACAUUUUGUGGUUGAGAUAUGUGAUGCGUACACCUAAUUUGUGAGGUGGCUUCAUUUUGCCUAAAUAUAUAAAUGAAAAAAUCUUGAAUAAAUCGGAUGUAUAUUUAUCAAUAGUAUAAAUAUUAUAAAAAUUUAUUGACUUAGUAAAAGAUUUUAAUCGGUUAAUAAUAUUAUUGAAUUUAUUAAUAAAUUUUAAAAUUUAUUGAUAAUCUUAACAAAUAUUUUAUAUAAAAAUUUUAUCAAAAAAUUUAAAAUUUAUUGAUAAUACUAACAAAUUUUAAGAUUUAGUAAUAAUUCAUAAAUUUAUAAAAUAAUUGAUAUUUAAAAUUUAUUAAAAAUUUAUUAAUGAAUUUUAAUUCGUUAAUAAAUUUAAAAAGAGUGUUGUAAUUACUAAUAAAUUUUAAUUUAUUAAUAAUUUAAAAAUUUAUCACUAAAUUUCAUCUUGAUAAAUAAAAAAAAAUGUUAAAAUUUAUAAAUGGAUGAUAUACAGUAAUAGUUACAUUCCUAAAUUUAAAAAAAAAUUCAUGUCUUUUUAAAAUUCACGUUUUUCACUUAUCAAUAAAAGAUAAAUUUAUUAAUAUAUAUAUUUUUAAUCGAUUGAUAAUUUUUCUUUAUAAAAUUUAGUGAUGGAUAGCAAACUCAUUUGCUAAAUUCACUAGUAAUACAUAUUUGUAAAAUAUGAUAUCUUUUAUUUUUUAUCAUUCAUUUAUUUUAUUAUUUUACUUUCUUUCAUUUUUUUUUUCUUUCCCUAUUUUUUCAUUUAACUUUUUUAUCUCUUAAUUUUUUUCUAUUGUUUUUUUUAUACUUUUUCUCUUUUUUUACUCUUUUUUUUUUCUUUCUAUUUUUAUUUUUCUCCAUAAUUUUAUUUUUAAUUACAUUCUUUCAAUUUCUAUAAUUUGUUAUUAUGGAAUUUUCAGGAAAAGAAAAGCAGUUAAAAGAAAAUUUCUCCAUUUCUUUAUAAAAAAAAGAGAAAAUUGCAAAUUCCUUGGAUAAGUAUAUAACCAACAAAUGAAGAAAGAUACAAAUGAAGCAUGUAUAUAUUUGAAAGAUUAAAUCGAUUUUGUAUGAAGCUUUGCCUAUGGAUCGAUCUUUCUUUCUCCUUUCUGCUUCUGCUAAAUGGAUAUGCAAUAUCUUUUUUUGUUUCCCCAUAGACAUGCAUGAUCAAGUACUUCUGCUUUUGAUAAUAGCAGCAGCAGCCUUAUUGGCGUUAUUGUUGGCUGAAAGAACAAGGCUUAAGCUUGUAGGAUGUUUAAGAUCAUCGGAGAUGUCUCGCUUCUGAAUCUGCAGAGGAA